ACACCCAUGGUGCCUAGCAGGGGGCUGGCAGAUUGUAGUUCCUGGAUACACGUCUGCCUAGACACCUAGAGCCUCCUUUGGGCAUCUCCCAGCACUCCUGGAAGGUGGGAUUUUUGGUUGCAAGUUGAUAAGGGAUUCAUCUGACAAUAGAGUCAAAGAAAUUAGCCAUCACCAGCAGAGUUGACAGUGCCCUUUUAAGAGCUGGCAUGGAGCAUUUGAUAAAAAUACAGUGAGAGAUCAGAGCACAGUGAAUCAUAUUUGGGAGGAAAAUCUCUUUUGAAAAGCCCAGGGGAGAACACUGUGGCUUUCAAAGUGCAAGAAACUGCAAUGUCCAAAAUACUCACUCUAUAUUGCUUUCUGAGCUUGCACACUUUUGGUGACUUGAGUGUGCCAGUUGGAGAGGCCCACCUGAGGAGGGAGCUGAGGUCAAUGUAGGAGUAACAGCUGCAGGAAGCAGAAGUUUUCAGUUCAAUCAACCUCAAGGAACUAAAUCUAACCAAUCACCAUAUGACUUUGGAAGCAGAUUUUCCCCAGAUGAGCCUUCAGAUAAGACCACAGCCCAGAGUGACAACUUGAUUGCAGCCUUCCAAGACCUUGAAGCAGGCUGUGCUUAGCCUAGCUAAGGUGGGCCUGGAUUCCUGGUUCACAAGAACUGUGAGAUAAACAGGUCAGUGACUGCUCUUGGCCAGCAAGCGGAAGAGGGACCUCUGCAGAACAAACAGCUGUCAUUUCUGAGGGGGUAUCUUGGGGAUGUCAAGAGGCCACGGAGCCCCUCCCAGCCUGAAAAAUCUUCAUUUUUUCUCCAUACUUUUCUCAAUCUACCUGUCACUGAGUCUUCACCAUUUGAGUGGCAGCUAAGAACUCAUCUAAGCUUUAAUAAAGGGAAGGGACUUUCUGCUGUCUUUUCAACUCUUGCCUUCUCUCCUCUCUGCCAUCUCUCUGUUGACCACUUAAUGGUAAUUUUUUUUUUCAUUAUCUAAGCAAUUAGAAAACUAAAAUUAACAAUCAAUCACUUGGAAACUCCAGGAACACAGAUCAGAUAUUUGAUAUCAGAUAUCAGAGGGCCAAAUCUGACACUCAAAAGACAUAUUUUGCUUCUUUCGUAUCUGAACAGAUAAAGUGG